GACGAACGCUGGCGGCGUGCUUAACACAUGCAAGUCGAGCGAUGAAACACCUUCGGGUGUGAAUUAGCGGCGAACGGGUGAGGAACACGUGAGAAAUCUGCCUUCAACACUGGGAUAACUCCGGGAAACCGGGGCUAAUACCGGAUACGAGACCUGCAGGCAUCUGCGGGUCUGGAAAGUUUUUCGGUUGAAGAUGAUCUCGCGGCCUAUCAGCUUGUUGGUGAGGUAAUGGCUCACCAAGGCGACGACGGGUAGCCGGCCUGAGAGGGCGACCGGCCACACUGGGACUGAGACACGGCCCAGACUCCUACGGGAGGCAGCAGUGGGGAAUAUUGGGCAAUGGAGGAAACUCUGACCCAGCGACGCCGCGUGCGGGAUGAAGGCCUUCGGGUUGUAAACCGCUUUCAGCAGGGAAGAAGCGAAAGUGACGGUACCUGCAGAAGAAGCACCGGCUAACUAUGUGCCAGCAGCCGCGGUAAUACAUAGGGUGCAAGCGUUGUCCGGAAUUAUUGGGCGUAAAGAGCUCGUAGGUGGUUCGUCACGUCGGAUGUGAAACUCUGGGGCUUAACCCCAGACCUGCAUUCGAUACGGGCGAGCUUGAGUAUGGUAGGGGAGUCUGGAAUUCCUGGUGUAGCGGUGGAAUGCGCAGAUAUCAGGAGGAACACCAAUGGCGAAGGCAGGACUCUGGGCCAUUACUGACACUGAGGAGCGAAAGCGUGGGGAGCGAACAGGAUUAGAUACCCUGGUAGUCCACGCCGUAAACGGUGGGCACUAGUUGUGGGGACCUUCCACGGUCUCUGCGACGCAGCUAACGCAUUAAGUGCCCCGCCUGGGGAGUACGAUCGCAAGAUUA
rnacentral:rRNA from 1 species